rnacentral:rRNA from 1 species
UAGCAUAUCAAUAAGCGGAGGAAAAGAAACCAACAGGGAUUGCCCCAGUAACGGCGAGUGAAGCGGCAAGAGCUCAAAUUUGAAAUCUGGCCUCCUCCGGGGGUCCGAGUUGUAAUUUGCAGAGGAUGCUUCGGGUGCGGCCCCCGUCUAAGUUCCUUGGAAUAGGACGUCAGAGAGGGUGAGAAUCCCGUCUUGGGCGGGCGGCCCGCGCCCGUGUGAAGCUCCUUCGACGAGUCGAGUUGUUUGGGAAUGCAGCUCUAAGCGGGUGGUAAAUUUCAUCUAAAGCUAAAUAUUUGCCGGAGACCGAUAGCGCACAAGUAGAGUGAUCGAAAGGUUAAAAGCACCUUGAAAAGGGAGUUAAACAGCACGUGAAAUUGUUGAAAGGGAAGCGCUUGCGGCCAGACUCGGGGGCGGGGUUCAGCGGGCGCUCGUCGCCCGUGCACUCCCCGCGCCCCGGGCCAGCAUCAGUUUCGACGGUCGGUCAAAGGCCCCCGGAAUGUGUCGUCUCUAGGGACGUCUUAUAGCCGGGGGUGCAAUGCGGCCCGUCGGGACUGAGGAACGCGCUUCGGCUCGGAUGCUGGCGUAAUGGCCGUAAGCGGCCCGUCUUGAAACACGGACCAAGGAGUCUAACAUCCACGCGAGUGUUCGGGUGUCAAACCCGUGCGCGCAGUGAAAGCGAACGGAGGUGGGAGCCUUUGGGCGCACCAUCGACCGAUCCUGAAGUCUUCGGAUGGAUUUGAGUAGGAGCGUGGCCGUUGGGACCCGAAAGAUGGUGAACUAUGCCUGAAUAGGG